AACGAACGCUGGAGGCAGGCCUAACACAUGCAAGUCGAGCGAGGACUUCGGUUCUAGCGGCGGACGGGUGAGUAACGCGUGGGAAUGUGCCCUUCUCUAUGGAAUAGCCCUGGGAAACUGGGAGUAAUACCGUAUACGCCCUAUUGGGGAAAGAUUUAUCGGAGAAGGAUCAGCCCGCGUUGGAUUAGGUAGUUGGUGGGGUAAUGGCCUACCAAGCUGACGAUCCAUAGCUGGUUUGAGAGGAUGAUCAGCCACACUGGGACUGAGACACGGCCCAGACUCCUACGGGAGGCAGCAGUGGGGAAUCUUAGACAAUGGGGGCAACCCUGAUCUAGCCAUGCCGCGUGAGAGAUGAAGGCCUUAGGGUUGUAAAGCUCUUUCAGCUGGGAAGAUAAUGACGGUACCAGCAGAAGAAGCCCCGGCUAACUCCGUG
rnacentral:rRNA from 1 species